GAUGAACGCUAGCUACAGGCUUAACACAUGCAAGUCGAGGGGCAGCGGGAUUGAAGCUUGCUUCAAUUGCCGGCGACCGGCGCACGGGUGAGUAACGCGUAUCCAACCUUCCGUACACUCAGGGAUAGCCUUUCGAAAGAAAGAUUAAUACCUGAUGGUAUCUUAAGCACACAUGUAAUUAAGAUUAAAGAUUUAUCGGUGUACGAUGGGGAUGCGUUCCAUUAGGUAGUAGGCGGGGUAACGGCCACCUAGCCAACGAUGGAUAGGGGUUCUGAGAGGAAGGUCCCCCACAUUGGAACUGAGACACGGUCCAAACUCCUACGGGAGGCAGCAGUGAGGAAUAUUGGUCAAUGGACGAGAGUCUGAACCAGCCAAGUAGCGUGAAGGAUGAAGGUCCUACGGAUUGUAAACUUCUUUUAUAAGGGAAUAAACCCUCCCACGUGUGGGAGCUUGUAUGUACCUUAUGAAUAAGCAUCGGCUAAACUCCGUG
rnacentral:rRNA from 1 species